rnacentral:rRNA from 1 species
GACGAACGCUGGCGGCGUGCUUAACACAUGCAAGUCGAACGGAAAGGCCCUUCGGGGUACACGAGUGGCGAACGGGUGAGUAACACGUGGGUGAUCUGCCCUGCACUUCGGGAUAAGCCUGGGAAACUGGGUCUAAUACCGGAUAGGACCACUGCCUGCAUGGGUGGUGGUGGAAAGCUUUUGCGGUGUGGGAUGGGCCCGCGGCCUAUCAGCUUGUUGGUGGGGUGAUGGCCUACCAAGGCGACGACGGGUAGCCGGCCUGAGAGGGAGAGCGGUCACACUGGGACUGUGAGACGGCGCAGACCCCUAGGGUAGGCAGCAGUGGGGGAUAUUGCACACUGGCCGCAAGCCUGAUGCAACGACGAAGCGUGAGGGAUGUCGGCUUUCGGGUUGUAAAAAUCUUUCAGAACCGACAAAGCGAAAGUGACGGUAGGUGCAGAAGAAGGACCGGCCAAUUACGUGCCAGCCGCCGCGGUAA